AUUGAACGCUGGCGGCAUGCCUUACACAUGCAAGUCGAACGGCAGCACGGGAGCAAUCCUGGUGGCGAGUGGCGAACGGGUGAGUAAUAUAUCGGAACGUGCCCAGUCGUGGGGAUAACGUAGCGAAAGCUACGCUAAUACCGCAUACGAUCUAUGGAUGAAAGCGGGGGGAUCGCAAGACCUCGCGCGAUUGGAGCGGCCGAUAUCAGAUUAGGUAGUUGGUGAGGUAAGGCUCACCAAGCCGACGAUCUGUAGCUGGUCUGAGAGGACGACCAGCCACACUGGGACUGAGACACGGCCCAGACUCCUACGGGAGGCAGCAGUGGGGAAUUUUGGACAAUGGGCGCAAGCCUGAUCCAGCAAUGCCGCGUGCAGGAUGAAGGCC
rnacentral:rRNA from 1 species